GAUGAACGCUGGCGGCGUGCCUAAUACAUGCAAGUCGAGCGAACGUACGAGAAGCUUGCUUUUCUGAUGUUAGCGGCGGACGGGUGAGUAACACGUGGAUAACCUACCUAUAAGACUGGGAUAACUUCGGGAAACCGGAGCUAAUACCGUAUAAUAUUUUGAACCGCAUGGUUCAAAAGUGAAAGACGGUCUUGCUGUCACUGAUAGAUGGAUCCGCGCUGCAUUAGCUAGUUGGUAAGGUAACGGCUUACCAAGGCUACGAUGCAUAGCCGACCUGAGAGGGUGAUCGGCCACACUGGAACUGAGACACGGUCCAGACUCCUACGGGAGGCAGCAGUAGGGAAUCUUCCGCAAAGGGCGAAAGCCUGACGGAGCAACGCCGCGUGAGUGAUGAAGGUCUUCGGAUCGUAAAACUCUGUUAUUAGGGAAGAACAUAUGUGUAAGUAACUGUGCACAUCUUGACGGUACCUAAUCAGAAAGCCACGGCUAACUACGUG
rnacentral:rRNA from 1 species